rnacentral:tRNA from 6 species
GCGCGUGUGGCGGAAUUGGCAGACGCACCAGACUUAGGAUCUGGCGUUUCACGACGUGGGGGUUCGAGUCCCUUCACGCGCACCA